AGCGGCGGACGGGUGAGUAACGCGUGGGUAACCUGCCUCAUACAGGGGGAUAACAGUUGGAAACGGCUGCUAAUACCGCAUAAGCGCACAGUACCGCAUGGUACGUGUGAAAAACUCCGGUGGUAUGAGAUGGACCCGCGUCUGAUUAGCUAGUUGGUGGGGUAACGGCCUACCAAGGCGACGAUCAGUAGCCGACCUGAGAGGGUGACCGGCCACAUUGGGACUGAGACACGGCCCAA
rnacentral:rRNA from 1 species